rnacentral:rRNA from 1 species
UACAGAGGUCUCAAGCGUUGUUCGGAUUCAUUGGGCGUAAAGGGUGCGUAGGUGGCGCCGUAAGUCGGGGUGUGAAAUUUCGGAGCUUAACUCCGAAACUGCAUUCGAUACUGCGGUGCUUGAGGACUGGAGAGGAGACUGGAAUUCAUGGUGUAGCAGUGAAAUGCGUAGAGAUAUGGAGGAACACCAGUGGCGAAGGCGGCUUCCUGGUCUGUAACUGACACUGAGGCGCGGAAAGCGUGGGGAGCAAACAGG